AGGGUCCAAAAUGGCCCACCGAAGUUGAAGCCAACUUUAAAAUUAGGGUUUUACCAUUAUAUAAAUAUAUCCGAAGCCCUAGCUUCCCGAACGUCGUCGAUCUCGUCACUCGCCUCGUUCGGCACACCAUUUUUCUCCUUUCGUGAUUCGGUUAGCAGUUCUUCAACAUGAGGGCUAAGUGGAAGAAGAAGAGAAUGAGGAGAUUGAAGAGGAAGCGCCGAAAGAUGAGGCAGAGAUCCAAGUAGUUUGUGUCUUCUUUAAAUAAAAAAAAGACAGCCGUUCUUUUAGUUUCUACUGAUCUAGGACGAGUAAUAGUUUAUUUUCUUGUGUUUUUGUUGGAUUUUUAUCGAGUUUUUUUAGUUUCGAUGAGCAAUUUUGUUGAACUUACUUCCCUCUGGGAUCUACAUUAUUGAAUUCACUUUCUGGAGUUUCUGAAAUAUCAGUUGAUGUUAUGUUGUUUGUCACCAUUAACUUAAAAACUUGAUUAUUUUUCUUUUUUGUUCUAGUAUAUUGCGGACCCAUUUCUAACAUUCCAUCGUUAUAAGCAUGUAAUCGUGAUAUUGUUGAUUGCUUUUAAAGUUGCAGUCGAUCAUCCCCAUUUAGACUGGAAUUGAACAGGAUUACUGAGAUACAACCAAAGUAUUAGUGAAGUUUGAAGAAUUUGUCUCAGAUCCAUUUUGAUUUUGGUAUUUGCGACCCAUUUUGUUAUCUCGAAUACAAUGUUCUGAUCAAACGAUUUUUUUCUUAUUAGCUUGUUCGCUCGAACUUAUUUCUGAUGCUUCGAACUCAUGUAAUGUUCUGUUUUACUUUAAUUUUCCGGAUUUAGUGUUGCAAUUAUGAGUGAGUGCUCUGUUUUAUACUUGUAAAAUGCAUCACUGUAAAUAAUGCUAGACAUAGAAAUGCGAAGAACAAAGUUCAUGUUCAUGUAAGGAAUGAAUGGCACAACGUUGCACUGGGUGGUUGCCAUCUAUGGCUUGUGGUGUCAGAUUUGGAUUCAAAAUUAUUGAACCUACUCAAUUACCAAUUUGUGCAUAGGCCUAAGAAAAGGGCUAGGAAAUUUGAUAGCACUCUUCCAAAACACUAGUUCUAUAUUUGAUCGAUUGAUUAUUAAAAGCUUUCUAUAUUUAAUUGAUGAUCAAUAAAACCAUUUCUUUUUGCCUUCAUGUUUGUUUUAUUCCCGCGAUGUAUUUGAAGGAUAAUAUUGUUCUUAUUUGUUUGUAGACAAUGGAAAGUGAAAUCACAUGUUUAAUUAUGAACUUCAAUGUGGUAUAAUCGGCACUAUUUAAAAUAUAAGAACAAAGGAAAUAAUUGAAUACUAUGAAUUUUUUCUUCACUGAUCAUUUAUGUUCACCUCUUCAGUCAAUGCAAGGUUCUGGAUUUGAACAAGAUUAAGUAUGCCAUGGUCUUAAGUUGCUAUAUGUUGUGUGAAGGGAAAACUAACAUAAUGAGAUAUAUUGGUGUUCUUUGACUCGUCCAUUUUCUAUUCUGUCUUUCCAAUACUACACUUAACGAAUCUUUUGAUGGAUUUUACCUAUCUAGUUUUGUUUUCCAACUUGGAAUCUUAAUACAGCUUCAAUUUCUCUCCUCAUUCUUCCUUCAAGAGGCUUCGGCUUUAUCACUUAUCUUUUUGUAAAUCCAUUGUAAUUGGAUUGAAGCUUCGUUUUCGAUCGAUAGCUCUAUUCGUAGUUAAAUAAUUGAAGAAGAGAAACUACUAUGAAUAUUGCGAAGGGAGGAAGAACCUCUGUCGUUUACUUCUAAUACGAUAGGUCGAGGCAGUUGAUGAUGAUGACAUUCGACUUAAAACUAACUUAAGAGACUGCUGAACAGUGUUUAAGCAGACACUUUUUUCACCAUCUUUAUUGCAAAGGAUAAGUAUGCUUUUAAUGCGACCACCAACACUGGCCAUAUCAGCUCUUAUUGUUGUGAGCUUCAAUCCUUUGAUCACUUGGAUGAGCUCUGUGAGCAGUUCUGGCCGAUCGUCACAACUCACCGAUACCUUUAUCGCAAUGUUAUUGCUGCUAUUGUCUUCAACCAUGGUGGAGUCGAUAGUUACUUCAUCCAUGUCUGUUGGAACUGUCAUGUUCUUACUGGCUUCCAUCGCUUUUCGUUUCAGGUCUUUCACUUGAUCUAUUGCGCUUCCCAACAAAGCUGCUUUAUCCAUCUGCCAUAGGAAACAAGAAGAUGGAUCUAAGCGUGUGCUGCAGAGUGUCUCUUUAAUGGUUUAUAUUUCUUCACAGAGUCAUCCCAUUAGAAAGAGACAAGGCUAGAGAGAGGAAGAGAGAGAGAGAGAGAGAGAGAGGAGUACCUUAUCAGAUUUGGGAAUGAGUUUCCUAAGAGUUGCAAGCUGAGCAUUGAUUCUGUCCCUACGUCUCUUUUCUGCUUGGCUAUGGCUUUUUGAAGCAGAAGCUGCUCUAUCUUCAACAAUGAUUCCUUCUGAUGGACUUGAAAAUGACGGGAAGAACUCAUUUGAGCUUGAAAACUGAGGAUUAAUCAUCCAUGGAUGAAGAAGAGAAGCUUCAUGGCUUGAAUUGGGAUUGCAGUGAUCAAAAUUUAGCCCCUCAGGCUUAGUAGAACGAUCCCAGUUAUUAUCUUCCAUAACUGAUGCAAAAGAGGAGGCAGGGGCCAGUCUCGUGAAAUCAAACUCAAAAGUUUGGUUUUUAUGGUUGCAUCUGGAGAGAUACUGUUGAUUGCACUAAUAAUAAUGUGUUGUUGGUGGUGUUGUUGAUGUUGUUGUUGUUGUGUGUGUGUGUGAUCUUCAAAUCUUGAUGGUGAUUGGUGUGAUGUCCAAUAGCCUUUAAUUUGUCAAAACGAAAAUCAUAUUUGGCCGUA